AGUGUGGUCUAGCGGUUAAGACACCAGGCUAGAAACUAGGAGAUUGUGAGUUCAAACCCCACCUUAGCUA
rnacentral:tRNA from 1 species